rnacentral:lncRNA from 1 species
AUUUCACGCGGUUAGGGUGAUUCAGAUACAAAUGUUGUAAGUAGCUAGGAUGACAUAUUGUACAAGAUAAAGUAGAAUAUUACGUAUAGAGUGAUUGGUCUUUACUGUACAAAACUAAAUGCUAAUAUGAUUCGCGGUGGUUCUCCUGAUAACUUUGGGAACUUAAUUACACAGUAAGCUAUGUUAAAUAUAAAAAUGUUUAAAACAACUGUUGUACUCUAAAAGCUUAAGCUAUUAGAUAACGGUGUUUUAAACAUUUUUAUAUUUAACACUCCUCCUCACGUCUGGGCUCGAGACUUAAUUAAUAUGCUAGGAGCCUAGCGUUACUUGAACUCAGAACCUCCUGCUCUGAUACCAUAUGAAACAACCGUUGUACUCUAAAAGCUUAAGCUAUUAGAUAACGGUGUUUUAAACAUUUUUAUAUUUAACAAGCUA